rnacentral:lncRNA from 1 species
UUACCCCAUUCCAGCGUACUAAGGCCCGAUUAACGAAGUUUUGAAGCUCUCUACCAUCAUCAAAAUCCAUAGCACCAUUGUCGAAAUUAAGGUAGGGAGCGGUGGUCCAAAGGUUUUUCCAGCGCUUCGAUAGAAAUGUCGUCCUAACAACAUCAGUCAUAGGCAACGACCAAAAUAUGUGAAAUAUUAUCGAGUCCGGCAACUCACUGAGUCGAUCCAUGAAACCCUCUGAAACAUAAUGAAGCAUCAAAGGAAUGAAAUGUGCAUCAAAAACUCAGAAUUCACCUUUAAUGGAAGCAAAAUAACACAUUGUAGUAUCAAAUUCUCGAAGAUUACCUCAAGAUGAACGCUUCUUCGCUCUCGCGCCAACAAAACCCUUGUUUGAGCUAAUGAACAAACAAAGGAGACUCAAAAGGCAUUGUAGCAUUGCUGCCUAAAAGCGCUAAAGUGGAAAAUUAAGCUUGGAACUUGGGGUUUUAAAAUCGCAAAUCGAAAUAAAAGCUGCUAUUGCAUUCUUUUAUAGGGGUUUUAAUUUACGGUAAUGUUCUUUGAACAAAAUAUAUGUCCGCACAAAAAUAUGGUUAAAUAUUUUUAAAAGAUAAAUUUAUUUAAAAUUUUUGGUUCAAACAAAACAAGAAUUUUGUUAGUUUUAUUCAUUUCUCCUUAUUAUAUUUUUUGUAAUUAUUUAAUAAUAUUUUUAAUUUUUAUUAUUUUUAAAGUGCAAAAAUUACAAAAAAAGGAAAAUAAUAAAAAUUAAAAGAAUUGUUAAAAAAUUACAAAAAAAACUACAAUAUGAAAAAAUUAAUAAAGCUAAAUAAAUCCUGUUUGAAUUUGAACCAAAGAUUAUAAAUAAAUCAAGUUUUUUAAAUUUAUGACCUUUUUUUAUCAGAAUAAAUUUUGUCCAAAUAACACUGCCAUUUAAUUUAUUCUGUCACCAACCAAAACCAUUGGCAGAUUACCAUUUUAUCUCUCUUAAUUAAUACCUUCUCAUCAAAAGCGAGGUGGAUAUUUUUGUGAUAUUGGAGUAAUUACUAAUAGCAUCCACUUAAGAGCUACUACUUUAUAAGAAGGGACUUUAAAAUUGGUUUGAAAAUUUUUAUUUUUAUUUUAUUCAAAUUGAUUUCUUCAUUUUUGAAAUCAAACAUUUUAUUAAGUUUUAAAUUUAAACAUUACAAUGAUUAAAACAAAAUAUAGUAAUAAAAAAAUAUUACAAUAAUUAAAUAAAAUGAAGAGUUAGUUGGAAGAGGAGUGGGAAGAAGAAGACAUUUUAAAGGAGGAGAAUGAUAGAAAAUGAGUAGUGAGAAUUGAUGUGAAAAAUAGCAGAAAUGAAAUACUCAAUAGAUCAAUUUUAGAAUAAAAAAAAGUGAAACAACCGUUGCAUGACUAAUUAAAAGAAAUCGACAGAAAGAGCCAUUGAGAUCAAUUUAAAAUUUAAUUUUAAAAUGGUGUGCACAUAGGUUGAGCCUCAUAUUUCUAGACGAAAGUCUGACGUGAGGCUUAAAGCUCGGCACGAGCUUGAGGUGCGGCACUGGGAGGGCAGUGCGGAUAGUGGGGCUCGAUGUAGCAGGUACAGUCCCGUUGUGGCCCGUGUGGAUGCUCUAAAUAAAAAUAUAUAGUGUAUUUAUAUUAGGUAGCUUCCUUAAGGUGUAGUCUUCAUUAUAAUACCGCAGUCUUGUUUAAGGUUCACCUCAAUCAAUUAACGAACAAGGAUAAUGUAUCAUUCAUAUUUGUUAGAGCUAAUUUAUUAAUUCUAUUUUAUUUGUAUAGGUUUGUCUUUUUUAUUAAAUAUAUUAUAUUUAGGACAAUAUAUAUUGUUAGUUUGCAUUUGCAACAUAUUAAUUUGGUCAUGGCCGGAAAUAAUUUGGUUAUGGGCCGUUAUUUGGGCUCACCAUCCUUAAUUUUCAAGUUUCAAUAACUCUAUAAAUAGAACCCAAAAAUUGCACCAAAUAAAACCCCAAACACGUUUCUAUGAAAUCUAUUUUUUAAUGUUUAGAACUUAGAAACCCAAAAACUUUUUUAUUCCAUGGGCAACUCACUAUAAGAAGCUCCAUCGUGAUUAUGUUUUUUUUUUUUCCCUUUAUUAGUUUAACAGAAUAUUUAGUUGAUAACUAAGAAAAGAGGUGACAAUUUCAGUUCUCUUUUGCUUGAAUACCAACAGAAAUCUGAAUGAUCGACGUUUUAUACGUGAGAGAAAUGAAAUUGUUAGCCUAUCAUAUGAAGCACUAGAUUAAUUUGACAUUGGGAAGUAAAGCAAGAUAAACAACAAUAGUGCUACUAAUGAAAAUUGCUCUGCUUCCCUAAAUAAGCAAAUAUAUAAAGAAAAUUUGAAGACGAAACAAAAGGAUAUCAAGCUCAGCACAUACUGCAUUCCUAUGAAUAUGAUUGAAGACAUAACUUGGUAAGAUCAAUAUUCAAAAAAGUAAAUUGUGCAGUUCAUGAGGUUUCAUUCAUAGCACUAAGAAAUUCAUCCAAAAGUGUCGAACUGCUCUACUGCCCUGAAUAAGCAAAAUACAACAACAAAAUGAAACAAACAAGGUAACAAAAACUGAAACAGGGUUAAAGAAAAGUAAAAUCCAACUCCCCAGAUCGGAGCAUAAUGCCGUCAUUGCAAAAUAUUUACAGAAAAUGUACGACAAACGCUAUUACCCGUCCAAGAAGACAAUCAGCUAGUUACUUGGAGUCAUGUGGCAUUCCUAUGAUUAGAGACAUAACUUGGUAAGAUCAAUAUUCACAGAAAAUCAAUUGAGCAGUUGGGGAGGAUCUUGGCAUUCUCAGCAGUUUCUGUGAUGCCCGAAACAAAGAUUUUGAUGGACAUUUAGGUGGCAUGAUUCCUCUUACUCUGAACACCAUCUUUUCUAGAUUGCUCGCGUAUUUUAACAGAAACUCUAAAAACGGAAAUACUUCGUCAUCCUCAUCCUCAUCCCAAAUAACCUCAACUGUCCUCAACUGCAGAAAGGACUCGGGAGGAUAUGCUUCAAACUUGAGGGAGCUCUUGGCAUCAAAGUUGAGUGACUCUUGGUUUUCAUGCAUCUCGAAUCCUACUCUACAUUUAAGGACUAACUUCUUUAAUUGAGGAAAACUCUCAAGUAGACUUACUAAUAGUUUGUAGUCAUUGAAACAAAAUCCAAGAUGCAAGGACUUGACAUUAGGAAAAGAGGAAGUCAUGCAUCUCUUUAUCAUAGCUCCAAGCACCUGACGUAAAACAAGUUCAUGAUAAUAAUCAGCUCACUGAAGCAAACACCAAGUAAGAAAAAAAGGCAAGCAUUGAUUUUUAGGGAUGCAACAAUGACUUCAUCAAAUUAAAAGAAUGUCAAACAUUCCAUAUCAUUUAUGGUUAUUAGUUAUUACAAUACUAACAUACAAGUCACAAGCUUGAUGCUACAAAGUAAUGCGUAUAUAAAAAUUCUAGAAUGGAUUUAAAAAGGCCAAAAAAGGAUAGGAGUUAGUUGCAUGAUGAAAGUGGGAACUGUAAUAUAAGUGGUUCAGUUAAAGAAGCCAAUGAUGCAACAAAGAAAGCAUACAAAGACCACCAUGCCAUCCAAGCUGACAUGCAUUGAAGUUAGAAUUAAGAAAACAUGACUAACAACUAUGCUAAAUAAAUAAUGAAAACUUCAUCAACAUAUUUAGAAAUUAAUUUGAUCACUUCAUCCUCAUUGCUACUCUAUCAAUACAUAUAUAACAAAUGCAAGACGCAUAAGAUUAGUUUAAAGAACCGAACCUUGAUGCAACAGAACAUUAAUGUGACAUUUUCAACAUGUUGGAUGGUUGAGAGAAUUUGACAGAACACGUCUCCCAGAAAAUCAUCCGAGGUAAACAAGCCACGCUCGGUGUCCAUCCCAGGAAAGUCCACAUCGUAUACAUCAAAGCAAUGUAGACCAAAAAACGCAAGAGUUGCGUGGGUUAAAGAUGAGACAUUCACCAACAGACACUUUUUAUAUGGAGCUCCUUUAAUUUCUAAGGUGUGAAGAUUUGGGGUGCAAAUUCUCAGUUCUGAAUCCCAACAUAGUUCAGCACAAAAUUGAAAAUACCUGUGAAUCGACAGCACUUUCAAACUAGUAGAUUGGAUACACAAGUUUUCACCUAUAUCUAGAAAAGACAUGAUCAAGACUUCCAACCGAGGACUACCACACAAUAUUUGGUUAAUCACACGUUCAGUGACCUCAUCACCAUUAAUAAUUGUCAAACUCUUGAGUUGAUUCCACUGAACAUUCCCAUAAACUCUCAAGUUACAAUCCUCAAACGAUAACACUUUAAGCGAUGAACAUGAGUAUACACACUGCGGCACCCAGUAUAUGUCGUCAUUAUCAUUAAUUUCAAACAGAAUAUGUAAGUAUAAUUCUUCGACCCCCUUAUCCUUGGCAAAUUGAACCCACAAAUCAGUACCCAAACACAUGGACUCAUCAAACUCAUAAAUCGAUUUGAACUUGAAUUUCAGAAGCCUUACCCCAUUCCAGCGCAAUAAGGCCCGAUUAACGAAGUUUUGAAUCUUUGUAUCAUCAUCAAAGUUCAUGGCAGCAUUGUCGAAAUUAAGGUAGGGUGCGGUGGUCCAAAGGUUUUUCCAGCGCUUCGAUAGAAUCGUUGUCCUAACAACAUCAGUCAUAGGCAACGACCAAAAUAUGUGAAAUAUGAUCGAGUCCGGCAACUCACUGAGUCGAUCCAUCAAA